rnacentral:rRNA from 1 species
AGUGAGCGCUGGCGGUAGGCCUAACACAUGCAAGUCGAACGGCAGCACAGUAAGAGCUUGCUCUUACGGGUGGCGAGUGGCGGACGGGUGAGAAAUACAUCGGAAUCUACUUUUUCGUGGGGGAUAACGUAGGGAAACUUACGCUAAUACCGCAUACGACCUACGGGUGAAAGCAGGGGAUCUUCGGACCUUGCGCGAUUGAAUGAGCCGAUGUCGGAUUAGCUAGUUGGCGGGGUAAAGGCCCACCAAGGCGACGAUCCGUAGCUGGUCUGAGAGGAUGAUCAGCCACACUGGAACUGAGACACGGUCCAGACUCCUACGGGAGGCAGCAGUGGGGAAUAUUGGACAAUGGGCGCAAGCCUGAUCCAGCCAUACCGCGUGGGUGAAGAAGGCCUUCGGGUUGUAAAGCCCUUUUGUCGGGAAAGAAAAGCAGCAGGUUAAUACCCCGCUGUUCUGACGGUACCCAAAGAAUAAGCACCGGCUAACUUCGUG